rnacentral:rRNA from 1 species
AGUGAACGCUGGCGGUAGGCCUAACACAUGCAAGUCGAACGGCAGCACAGUAAGAGCUUGCUCUUACGGGUGGCGAGUGGCGGGCGGGUGAGGAAUACAUCGGGAUCUACUUUUUCGUGGGGGAUAACGUAGGGAAACUUACGCUAAUACCGCAUACGACCUACGGGUGAAAGCAGGGGAUCUUCGGACCUUGCGCGAUUGAAUGAGCCGAUGUCGGAUUAGCUAGUUGGCGGGGUAAAGGCCCACCAAGGCGACGAUCCGUAGCUGGUCUGAGAGGAUGAUCAGCCACACUGGAACUGAGACACGGUCCAGACUCCUACGGGAGGCAGCAGUGGGGAAUAUUGGACAAUGGGCGCAAGCCUGAUCCAGCCAUACCGCGUGGGUGAAGAAGGCCUUCGGGUUGUAAAGCCCUUUUGUUGGGAAAGAAAAGCAGCAGGUUAAUACCCCGCUGUUCUGACGGUACCCAAAGAAUAAGCACCGGCUAACUUCGUG